GUGCCAGCAGCCGCGGUAAUACGUAGGUGGCAAGCGUUGUCCGGAAUUAUUGGGCGUAAAGCGCGCGCAGGCGGUCCUUUAAGUCUGAUGUGAAAUCACGUGGCUCAACCACGUGCGGUCAUUGGAAACUGGAGGGCUUGAGUGCAGAAGAGGAAAGUGGAAUUCCAAGUGUAGCGGUGAAAUGCGUAGAGAUUUGGAGGAACACCAGUGGCGAAGGCGACUUUCUGGUCUGUAACUGACGCUGAGGCGCGAAAGCGUGGGGAGCAAACAGGAUUAGAAACCCCAGUAGUCC
rnacentral:rRNA from 1 species